rnacentral:rRNA from 1 species
GUAGGAGGCAAGCGUUGUCCGGAAUUAUUGGGCGUAAAGCGCGCGCAGGCGGUUCUUUAAGUCUGAUGUGAAAGCCCACGGGCUCAACCGUGGAGGGUCAUUGGAAACUGGAGAACUUGAGUACAGAAGAGGAAAGCGGAAUUCCACGUGUAGCGGUGAAAUGCGUGGAGAUGUGGAGGAACACCAGUGGCGAAGGCGGCUUUCUGGUCUGUAACUGACGCUGAGGCGCGAAAGCGUGGGGAGCAAACAGGAUUAGAUACCCUGGUAGUCCACGCCGUAAACGAUGAGUGCUAAGUGUUAGGGGGUUUCCGCCCCUUAGUGCUGCAGCUAACGCAUUAAGCACUCCGCCUGGGGAGUACGGCCGCAAGGCUG